UCGGAUCGAGUCUGCAACCCGACUCCGUGAAGCUGGAUUCGCUAGUAAUCGCGCAUCAGCCAUGGCGCGGUGAAUACGUUCCCGGGCCUUGUACACACCGCCCGUCAAGCCAUGGGAGCCGGGGGUGCUUGAAGUGCGUCGCCGCAAGGCGCGCCCUAGAGCAAAACCGGUGACUGGGGCUAAGUCGUAACAAGGUACC
rnacentral:rRNA from 1 species